UGCCAUGCAUUGGGGUAGAUGUCG
rnacentral:piRNA from 1 species